CAGGGCCCUGCAACUCCUAAGAAAUUUGAACAUGCCAUAUCAUCUAAGAUUACAAAACAUGACCAGUCACCAAUGCUUCUCAAGAUGCAGAGAAGCAGCUCAAAAUCAAUUGCCCGGGUGAUCAUUCAUCAAGACAAGGCAUAUAGUGGUUGGAUUGGGUUGGACCGCGAAAUGGAUGAAGGAUCAUGGGACCGAAAGUGGCCUCAUGGUUUGGCUUCAGAUCAAUGUAGUCAUAGCUUUAGCACUUCAAAAGACUCAACAGCCCAUCAAACAGUUCCGAGCCCCUCUUCUUGAGAAGUUUACUCUCGAAAAAAAAAAAAAAAAAA